rnacentral:rRNA from 1 species
UACGUAGGGUGCGAGCGUUGUCCGGAAUUAUUGGGCGUAAAGAGCUCGUAGGCGGUCUGUCGCGUCGAUCGUGAAAACUUGGGGCUUAACCCUGAGCUUGCGGUCGAUACGGGCAUGACUGGAGUUCGGCAGGGGAGACUGGAAUUCCUGGUGUAGCGGUGAAAUGCGCAGAUAUCAGGAGGAACACCGGUGGCGAAGGCGGGAUCCUGGGCCAGUACUGACGCUGAGGAGCGAAAGCGUGGGGAGCAAACAGG